GACGAACGCUGGCGGCGUGCUUAACACAUGCAAGUCGAACGGAAAGGCCCUGCUUUUGUGGGGUGCUCGAGUGGCGAACGGGUGAGUAACACGUGAGUAACCUGCCCUUGACUUUGGGAUAACUUCAGGAAACUGGGGCUAAUACCGGAUAGGAGCUCCUGCUGCAUGGUGGGGGUUGGAAAGUUUCGGCGGUUGGGGAUGGACUCGCGGCUUAUCAGCUUGUUGGUGGGGUAGUGGCUUACCAAGGCUUUGACGGGUAGCCGGCCUGAGAGGGUGACCGGCCACAUUGGGACUGAGAUACGGCCCGGACUCCUACGGGAGGCAGCAGUGGGGAAUAUUGCACAAUGGGCGGAAGCCUGAUGCAGCAACGCCGCGUGCGGGAUGACGGCCUUCGGGUUGUAAACCGCUUUCGCCUGUGACGAAGCGUGAGUGACGGUAAUGGGUAAAGAAGCACCAGCUAACUACGUG
rnacentral:rRNA from 1 species